AGUGUGCCGUUGCUGGCUCUGAGAAGUAGGAGCCUUGUGCAAGGAUUCAGGAGAGGCCUCUAGAAACUGAGGAUGGCCCUCAACUGGCAAGCACAGGCAACUGAAUUCGGCCAGGCAUCUGGGUCCUGUGCUAGGGGCUAGGAAGACAAAGAGAAACAGAGUCACAUCCUCCCACAAAAAUCCAUGAGAUGUCGGAGAGCCGAACUUGUAAACAGCCAUCAUCAACACAAAGAAGGAUGCACUGAUGCUCUCUAGAGGCUCACAGGAAAUGAUUCAUGGGCAUAGAGAUGUGGAACCUACGGACAUGGAGGGCCAACUUCACAUAUAAUGAAAUAUUAUUUGGCCGUAAAAAGGAAGGAAAUCCUGCCAUUUAUGACAACAUGGAUGGACCUGGAGGACAUUAUGCUAAGUGAAAUAAGCUAGACACAGGAAGCCAAAUACUGCCUCAUCUCACUUCUGUAUAAAACCUAAACUAGUUAAACACAUAGAAGCAGAGAAUAGAAUGGUAGUUGCCAGGAGCUGGAGGGAAGGGGAAAUGGGGAAGUAUUGGCCAAAGAGUUCAAUUUGUGUAAAGUUUCAGUGUGCAAAAUAAGUAAAUUCUGGAAACCUCCUGUGCGAUAUAGGGCAUAUGAUUAACACCACUAUAUUGUGUUUUAAAAAAUUUGCUAAGAAGGUAGAUUAAGAAAAACAAAGAAAACCAAAAAACCCAAAGGCAGCAGAAGGACACUUUUGGAGAUAAUGGAAAAGUUUAUGGCAUUAAUAUUGGUAGUGAUGAUGGUUACAUGGGUGUAUGCUUAUCUCCAAACACAUCGAGUUGUAUACAUUAAAUAUCUAUAGCUUCUUGUAUGUCAAUUAUAUCUCAAUAAAGCGGUUUAA
rnacentral:lncRNA from 1 species